rnacentral:rRNA from 1 species
UGAGUACGAGACGCUACGGCGUCGAAGCAGUCUAUGUCAUACUUCCAAGAAAAGCUUGCACUGUCAUAAACAAAUAAUGCCUGUACCAUAACCGACACAGGUGGGUAGGUAGAGUAUACUAAGGGGCGCGAGAUAACUCUCUCUAGAACUCGGCAAAAUGACUCCGUAACUUCGGGAGAAGGAGUGCCUUAUUCUUAAGGUUGCAAUAACAAGAUCCAAGCAACUGUUUAUCAAAAACACAGGUCUCCGCUAAGUCGUAAGACGAUGUAUGGGGGCUGACGCCUGCCCAGUGCCAGAAGGUUAAAGAAGUUGGUUAGCAUUCGCGAAGCUGAUAACUGAAGCCCUGGUGAACGGCGGCCGUAACUAUAACGGUCCUAAGGUAGCGAAAUUCCUUGUCGGGUAAGUUCCGACCCGCACGAAAGGCGUAAUGAUUUGGAUACUGUCUCGGAGAGGGGCUCGGUGAAAUAGACUUGUCUGUGAAGAUGCGGACUACCUGCACCUGGACAGAAAGACCCUAUGAAGCUUUACUGUAACUUGAAAUUGAAAUUGGACUUUAUUUGCGCAGUAUAGGUGGGAGGCGUUGAGAAUAUUCUUGCGGGAAUAUUGGAGCCAUCAGUGAGAUACCACUCUUGUAAUGUUAGAUUUCUAACUUUGAAUCAUUAUCUGGUCAAAGGACAGUUUCAGGCGGGCAGUUUGACUGGGGCGGUCGCCUCCUAAAUGGUAACGGAGGCGCACAAAGGUUUCCUCUGAACGGGUAGAAAUCGUAUCUAGAGUGUAAAGGCAUAAGGAAGCUUGACUGUGAGACCUACAAGUCGAGCAGGGACGAAAGUCGGUCUUAGUGAUCUGACGGUGCUGAGUGGAAAGGCCGUCACUCAACGGAUAAAAGUUACUCUAGGAUAACAGGCUGAUCUCCCCCAAGAGUUCACAUCGACGGGGAGGUUUGGCACCUGGAUGUCGGCUCAUCGCAUCCUGGGGCGGUAGUACGUCCCAAGGGUUGGGCUGUUCGCCCAUGAAAGCGGUACGCGAGCUGGGUUCAGAACGUCGUGAGACAGUUCGGUCCAUAUCCGGUGUAGGCGUUAGAAUAUUGAGAGGAGCCUUCUUUAGUACGAGAGGACCGAGAAGGACAUACCUCUGGUGUACCAGUUAUCGUGCCAACGGUAAACGCUGGGUAGCUAUGUAUGGAGAGGAUAACCGCUGAAAGCAUCUAAGUGGGAAGCCCACCUCAAGAUAAGUAUUCUCAC